rnacentral:RNase_P_RNA from 1 species
AUCGCCUUUCCGCAAGGAUGGGAGGAAAGUCUGGACAGCAUAGGGCAAUGUACCGGUGAAGAGCCGGGUCUUGUUUUGGCUUCGGCCUGAAUGGGAACAGACAGUGCCACAGAAAAUUACAGCCUUCGUUCCGGCCUUUGGUUGGGAUUAGUCCAAUUAAUUUUGGAGGGUGAUGGUGAAAACGUGGGGUAAGGGCCCACGGCUUUGCCGGGCGACUGGCAGGGCGGGUAAACCUUGCAUGCUGAAAUGCCAUGUAUACCAGCGUUGAA